CUUAGAUCCGCCUGUCAGAUAAAUUAGAUCACGAAGCAUGUGAUCACAAAAUGACAACUUACACCAGAAAAACACGUGCAGUGAAUGACUCAGAUGUGCGCACUUGUUCUGUGCAAAUAUGAAUAUAGGUAUUUGGAAAUACAUUUUACGUAUGACAAAAUACCAAACAAUCUAAUUACAAUUAAAUAUUACAUCUAUUGACAUAUAUGUACUUGUAUAUCUGAUGUAUGGCGGGUAUGCGAACGGAUCUAACAUAUCUAAUUCUACAUGUGUGAGCGGAUCUAACAUAUCUAAUUCUACAGGUUCGACAGUAGAGCAGUGAAAACUUCUACGUCUAUCAGAAUUUUUAGUUGGAUGAUUUGUGCAGACCCAGACUUCCACAUGAAAUUCAAAGCGUUGGUUAAUGCAUGCUCAACCAUCCACUAGCCAUGCACGGUAUUUGAGAUACCAUAACACUGAUUUUAAGAUAACUACAGAAACGGAUUAUCACAAUGGAAUAUUAAAGAAAGAAAGAAAAUAUGCACUCUUGGCAAAGUUAUAAAAAUUCAAACCUUUGUGAACAAUCUCUUAUCUUCGACCUUCAUCGUAAAACUUCCAACAUCUGGUGGAGAUACACAUGCAGCAUCACUCACAAAGCUUCUGGUGCGCAGACGACCGAAAGAUGAAAUGUAUAUCCAGAAAUUUUUAGUGCAAAUAAUUUUAUCUGCCAACGUGUGCCAGCGAGCGAGGAAGUGGCCGCCAGUUUACUGAAAUGUCUCUAGGGGUGUUUGUGUAGAUGCUUCAAGUUUGAGAAUGUUUUGUUUUCAUCGUGAUAUAUAUAUACAGCUUGAUGUUGCUGAUGCUGAGCUAUUUUUAGAACUUGAUAGGACCCCCAUUGUGUUAUUGUUAUGCAAAAACAGUGGAUCGUACACCACAUUAACAAAAUGUUUUCAAGUGUAAGAUUUUGAAGAAAGACAGCAACAUUUUGCACCUAUAUGAUGCUAUUAUUUUGACGUGAAAUUUAUGUAGAAUACGUUUAUAUAAAUAUUAUACACUGGU